GCAUAUCAAUAAGCGGAGGAAAAGAAACCAACCGGGAUUGCCUUAGUAACGGCGGGUGAAGCGGCAAAAGCUCAAAUUUGAAAUCUGGUACCUUCGGUGCCCGAGUUGUAAUUUGGAGAGGGCAACUUUGGGGCCGUUCCUUGUCUAUGUUCCUUGGAACAGGACGUCAUAGAGGGUGAGAAUCCCGUGUGGCGAGGAGUGCGGUUCUUUGUAAAGUGCCUUCGAAGAGUCGAGUUGUUUGGGAAUGCAGCUCUAAGUGGGUGGUAAAUUCCAUCUAAAGCUAAAUAUUGGCGAGAGACCGAUAGCGAACAAGUACAGUGAUGGAAAGAUGAAAAGAACUUUGAAAAGAGAGUGAAAAAGUACGUGAAAUUGUUGAAAGGGAAGGGCAUUUGAUCAGACAUGGUGUUUUGUGCCCUCUGCUCCUUGUGGGUAGGGGAAUCUCGCAUUUCACUGGGCCAGCAUCAGUAUUGGUGGCAGGAUAAAUCCAUAGGAAUGUAGCUUGCCUCGGUAAGUAUUAUAGCCUGUGGGAAUACUGCCAGCUGGGACUGAGGACUGCGACGUAAGUCAAGGAUGCUGGCAUAAUGGUUAUAUGCCGCCCGUCUUGAAACACGGACC
rnacentral:rRNA from 1 species